UAUAGAUUUUUCAUCCAACAUAAUGAAAAUAACAAUGGGCACUAUGACACACACCUAUAAUACCAUGGACUCAAGAGGCUGAGGCAGGAGUAUGACAAGUCCAAGCCCAUCCCAGCAACCUGGUGAAAUCCAAUUUCAAAAUAAAAAAGAAAAAUGGAUCAUGUGUCCCAACAGGCUGACUUCUAAGGACUGCAUCUUUAGGUUUCUUUGAUGGACUAGAUUUGCCCACUGGGCAGCAAAGACAGGAGGCUGAGGAAUUACAGAAGAGAAAAUAUGGUAUGGUCGGCAGAAUAAUGUCCUCCCAUAGAUGUCAAUGUCCCAGUCCUCAGAAGCUGUAAAUAUGCUUUCUUACAUGGUGAAAGGGUCUUCACAGGUAUGAUGAGUUAAGGAUCUUUUGAUGGGGAGAUUAUCCUGGAUUAUCUGGGUAGGUCCAAUGUAAUCAGAAGUAUCCUGAUAAAAGGAAGGCAAGAAGGUCAGAGUCAGCAAUUAUAAAAUGCUGACCUUGAAGGCAGAAGAAGAAACCUUGAGUCAAAGAACAGAGAGGACUUCUAGAAACUGGAAAAAGCAUGGGAACAGAUGCUCCCCAGGACUUCCAGGAGGAACACAGACCUAUUGACACCUUGAAAUUCACCCAGUGAAAUCCAUUUUGGACCUUUGAACUUCAGAACUAUUUCUUGAUAAGUUUUAAGUUUCUGGUAAUUUGUUAUAGAAACAUAGAAAAACGUACAUGUAAAAUUUCUCCUCCUCCUGC